CUGAAUGUUCUCUUUAUACAUCCAUGUAUGUAACAUGUUCGUCAAGCUGAAGUUGUUCACUUUCUAGUUUGUAAAACUACAACAUAUUGAACAGUAAGUGGUCAAAGUAGAAGACAAGCGUUUUUGGUCGUCAUUCCACUACAGGCUUAGUUAUU